rnacentral:tmRNA from 1 species
GGGGGCGAACAGGGUUCGACCGGGCGAUGCCACCGCGAAGGACGCGCGCCGAGGUUCCAGGAGGCCUCGUAAAACCCCUGGGAAAACUUCAAGUGCCAACGGCACCCAGUACUCCCUCGCGGCUUAGUCCGUGAGCGUCCCCCCGAUCCUCGCCCGCGGGAACGGGGGGACGUAUGCAGCGGGCGGAUCCCCCGGAGGCCGCCGAGCGGCCGGGGGACGACAUCACGGUCGGCUGGCGCCCGGGGGACCCCGUCCGUGGGGACCCCCGGGGGCGAUGACUCCAAACGCGGAACACGCGCGUAGGGUCCCCGCGGGGGCCGUUCCGGGACGUGGGUUCGAUUCCCACCGCCUCCACCA